AUUGAACGCUGGCGGCAGGCCUAACACAUGCAAGCCGAGCGGAUGAAGGGAGCUUGCUCCUGGAUUCAGCGGCGGACGGGUGAGUAAUGCCUAGGAAUCUGCCUGGUAGUGGGGGAUAACGUCCGGAAACGGGCGCUAAUACCGCAUACGUCCUGAGGGAGAAAGUGGGGGAUCUUCGGACCUCACGCUAUCAGAUGAGCCUAGGUCGGAUUAGCUAGUUGGUGGGGUAAAGGCCUACCAAGGCGACGAUCCGUAACUGGUCUGAGAGGAUGAUCAGUCACACUGGGACUGAGACACGGUCCAGACUCCUACGGGAGGCAGCAGUGGGGAAUAUUGGACAAUGGGCGAAAGCCUGAUCCAGCCAUGCCGCGUGUGUGAAGAAGGUCUUCGGAUUGUAAAGCACUUUAAGUUGGGAGGAAGGGCAGUAAGUUAAUACCUUGCUGUUUUGACGUUACCAACAGAAUAAGCACCGGCUAACUUCGUG
rnacentral:rRNA from 1 species